AAAAAGAGAAAGAGAUCUAUCUUCCAUUCACUAAAUGACUAAAUGACUCCAGCUGCCAGGACAAGGUUUGCUUGAAGCCAGGAGCCAAGAGCCCUAUUGAGGUAUCCCAUGAGACUCUCUAAAAGUCGAUCUCUACCACCUCAGGAGGUACUGUUCAGUUACCCACACUCCUCUGUUUUCUGAGACUGUGUGAAAAAACUUUCUCACAGUUACUGGACUGUACCAGGCCAAAAAGAGAAAGCUACAGCAUGCCAACAUUUAUCCCACUGGUUUUCAUAACCGACUACCACAAAAGCCAAGUAGGGAGCCCCUGCCUUCCAAAAAAGGAAAAUGCUUUCAAAAGAGACUGAGAAUAAAAACUUCA